rnacentral:lncRNA from 1 species
GAUGCUCUAAUCAAACAUCUCCGUAUAGAUACCAGUAGAGGUCAGACAUGUGCAUGGCUAUGAUCGAAACCUGGGACAUCCGCAGGAUCUGAAGGUAUGGAGAUCUGAUCUUCGAUUUGAUUUUGCUAACGUUUGUUUUCUUUUUUAGAUUUCAUAUCAAGAUAGCAUGUUCGUGUCAAGAUCGUAGCUAUGAUUUUCAUAUCAGAUCU